CCUAACUCAACCCAGACUCCCUAAGGUUGGCAAAAAGGGCAAAGUUUGAGUCAAAACCACGCCCUUCCUUUGAGUUUUAGGGAUGCCCUUAGAAUUCUGGGAGAAACCAAAAGAAACUGCAGUUUCAUCCUCCAGAUGAGGCAAGUCUGUCACUUUCAGUGUUUAUUCAAAUUUCAAACUCAGCCCAACAAACAAAGACAGUCUCCCGGGAGGGGAAGGAAAAGAAGGGCAGAGGAACCCUGAAGUUCUAUUCCACUCAGAACAAAGUGUUGAUGUUGUGAGAUUCCCUAGGAGAGGGAGCAAGAUAGGAAGAAGAUAUUCCAGCCUGCAAAAAGCAUGUGUUCUGGUCUGCUCUCAGCGAGGGCAGUAGCAGAGUGAUAAAGGUCCUGUUCCUGCAAGGCUGGAAAAAGACAAUGACAAGUCAAGUCCAGGCCUGGGCUGGAUAUUGAUCUACUAGGAGACUGUUUCCCGGGAAUAUUAUGCAGCUCAGAAAGGUGAAGAGGGAGGCUCCUACGUGGGGGGACCAGCAGCUUCAGCAGUACCUGAUGUAUGACUGGCGCUCUGUAUUGGAAGCUUAUUGUUGCCAUACAUCUAAGCUACGUCUUCAAUUCUAGCCUUCAACAGUUUAGCAGAUUCUAGAGUCAGAAGAUCUGAGAAGUCCUGCAGUUAAAUAAACUAACUCAGAAUAAGUUCUGGCACCAAACUCCCUGUGUUCAAAUCUGAGUUCUACCAUUUUAUAACUGUGAUUGCAGGAAUCCCUCACUGAAAAGGUGAAGCAAAGAAGGACAUGAAAGAGGCAACAAGUUCCAGGGAAGAUAGCAUUAUGCAGCAGAAGGAGCACUGGAAACUGAGCAGAGGAGCUUUUCAUUCUCUUCUGAAAGGGUAUCACAGGCUUCUUGUGCUUAGGAACACUAGAGAGCACUUCAGCAUUCUGAUUGGAGGCCACCUUAAACAGCGAAAUCACCGACAACCAGCACAAAGAACACAUGGCACUAAAUAGACUGCAAAAGGGAGACUUGUUUAAGAGCUGAAACAAGAAGGCAGAGCGUUGCCUUGUUUACCUCAGCUGGAAAUGUGCACAUUGGACAACUCAAUUUUUUCAUCACUCUGCACGUGGCUGUGAAUGCCCAUGAAAGCACCAGGAGUAUUGAUUUGGGGUUACAAAUAAAUUUUGGUGAGUAAGCCAAUGUGCAAAUAUGGAAUCCAUGAAGAGUGAAGAUGGACUAUACUUGCCCUCUGAGAACCUCAGUAAUGGUACCUCCCUCACACGACACAUUAAAUGACAGAAGGUAUGUAAAAUGCUCCACAUGAUUCCAGGGAGUUCUUUAUACCAAAUAUUUGCAUUUUCACCCUUUGUACCUUAUCUGUCAUGCUCAAUCCUGAGAGACAAGUAGAUACCAAGAAAUUUUCACCAAAUGCACCAUCUUUAUCCCUGGAGCCUAAAUCAAAAACUAUUCAAGCUAGCUCAAGUAGAAAAGGAGAUAUUUUGAACCCAUCUAAAAGGCAAUUGCCUGGGGCACUAAAGUGCAGGGAUCAGCAGAGCCAGCCCACCCUGGGAUCAGACUGUAACAGGAAGAUUAGAAGAAGUGCCAUCUCUCCCAUGGCUGCAGCAUCUGCCAUCCGUAUUUCUCUCUGAGCAUGUGUUACACUUGUCUGCUUUCCUCAGCAGGCAACUUUCCUCUGCUUUCUCUGGCCGCCUUGCACCCUCAGGAUUUUGGCUCAUAUGUGGUUCUGGCUUCCACAGUGCUGAUUCUAGCCUGACUCUAUGUGGCUUGUGCACACCUGUGGUCUUCACCAGUCUAGCACCGUUCUCCCACUUCUGGUAACAGAAGAGCUGACUGCACCUCUCGCUCCAGGGUAGGCCUGUGACCCAGGCCUGGCCAUUGACUCUCUCUCCUGAGAAUUCGAUGCUUUCUUGGUUAUCUUUUAUCACUUCUGUCAUUACUCUGUAUACCUUUUUGCUGCCUCAUGGCUUUUGUUUGCUCAGAGCUCUUGUUUAUUCACGGUUUCUGCUUACUCAUGAAGUCUAAAUAUUGCCUUCUCUCAGCGUCUUUCAGCUUUUGCCUUCACUGACAAUUUUUUUCAUUGUCUCUCUAGUUCUGAUUCCUGAAAGAAAAAAUCAUUGGCACAGUUCAGUGCCAUUUAUUUGGGCAAAACUACCAGGCCAGGAUACACUAUAGGUUGAUGUCCAACCUAUUGAUCAGCUGCUUCUAUUUAAGUACCUGCCAUUGGCCAACAAGCUGUGGGCAGAGUUGUAGGGGUAGGAAGGGUGCAUAUAGUAUUGAAUGUGGUCACCUAUGUUUCAGGAUUUAUAUCAAGCUGGUUAUCCAGACACCUUCUUUUUCUAAUACUCCAAGUCCAAUCUAUGAAGAAAUCCUAUCAGCUCUACUCUCAAAAUAUAUUUAGAAUGUGAUCGCCUCUCACCAGUCCCACUGCUACCACUCUGCUCCAAGCCACACUGCCUCUGACUUGCAUUACUGCAGCAGUCUGCUGAGAGACCACCUGCUUCUCGGCAUAGUCUAUUGCCAACAGAGUUGCCAGAGUGAUUCUUUUAACACCUAAAUCAGGAUCAUUCCUUUGCUUCACGUAUUGCAAGUGUUUCCAUUUCGCUCAGGGCAAGAGCCAAAGUCCUUGCCCCCAGUAUUCUCUGACGUCAUCCUCACCACCUUCCCCCUUGCUCGCUCCACUCCAGCCACACUUGCCUUUCCUCAGAUAUUCCAGGCAUGUUCCCACCAGAGGGCUUGGCUCUAGCUGUCCCAUCUGCCUGAAGCACACUUCUUACCGAUACUGCUUGACUAACUCCUUUAAACCUUUACUCAAAUGUCUCCUUCUUCACAGAGCCUGCCUAACCAACCUAUUUACUACUACAACUGUAGUAUUAAAUGUAGUACAGUAAAUACUGUAGUAUUAAGUACCACAGUUCCCCACAUAGCCAUUCCCUCUUACCCUGCAGUACUUUUCUUGUUCCUGUACGUAUCACUUUCUAACAUACCACGUAAAUUAUGUUUAUUAUUUCUUGCCUGUCUCCCCCUGCUAGAAAGUAAGUUCCACAGAGAGAAAUUAAGUUCCACAAAGAGAAAGUAAGUUCCAAAAAGAGAAAGUAAGUUCCACAAUAUCUUUGUCUAUUUUGUACCUUGAUGUACACUGAGGAUUUAGAACGGGGCCUGGCCCCAUAAAUAUUUGCUGAAUUGAAUUGAAUUUCUUGGUAGGGAGCUAUAAACGUGUAAGUACACUAAGGCUUUCCUAUGCAAUAUAAAAAUAUCUCUUUCAGGGAAAUUUAUAGCACUAAGU